rnacentral:rRNA from 1 species
UACGAAGGGUGCAAGCGUUACUCGGAAUUACUGGGCGUAAAGCGUGCGUAGGUGGUUUGUUAAGUCUGAUGUGAAAGCCCUGGGCUCAACCUGGGAAUUGCAUUGGAUACUGGCAGGCUAGAGUGCGGUAGAGGAUGGCGGAAUUCCCGGUGUAGCAGUGAAAUGCGUAGAGAUCGGGAGGAACACCAGAGGCGAAGGCGGCGACCUGGACAGGAACUGACACUCAACUACGAAAGCGUGGGGAGCAAACAGG